rnacentral:rRNA from 1 species
CCUACGGGUGGCAGCAGUGAGGAAUAUUGGUCAAUGGACGCGAGUCUGAACCAGCCAAGUAGCGUGAAGGAUGACUGCCUUAUGGGCUGUAAACUUCUUUUCUAUGGGAAUAAAAUGUUCCCCGUGAGGGAUUUCGUAUGGACCAUAUGAAUAAGGAUCGGCUAACUCCGUUCCAGCAGCCGCGGUAAUACGGAGGAUCCGAGCGUUAUCCGGUUUUAUUGGGUUUAAAGGGAGCGUAGGUGGAUUGUUAAGUCAGUUGUGAAAGUUUGCGGCUCAACCGUAAAAUUGCAGUUGAAACUGGCAGUCUUGAGGACAGUAGAGGUGGGCGGAAUUCGUGGUGUAGCGGUGAAAUGCUUAGAUAUCACGAAGAACUCCGAUUGCGAAGGCAGCUCACUGGACUGCAACUGACACUGAGGCUCGAAAGUGUGGGUAUCAAACAGGAUUAGAUACCCUUGUAGUC